rnacentral:rRNA from 1 species
AGAGUUUGAUCCUGGCUCAGAACGAACGCUGGCGGCGUGCCUAAUACAUGCAAGUCGAGCGCGAAAGUGGGAGCAAUCCUGCAAGUAAAGCGGCGAACGGGUGAGUAACACGUAAGUAACCUACCUUCAAGUCUGGAAUAACAUUGCCAACGCGAUGCUAAUACCGGAUGAGGUCAUGUGAUCGCAUGAUUGUAUGAUCAAAGAGGGCCCUUAAAAGCUCUUGCCUGGAGAUGGACUUGCGGCCCAUUAGUUUGUUGGCGGGGUAACGGCCCACCAAGACUAUGAUGGGUAGCCGGCCUUAGAGGGUGAACGGCCACAUUGGGACUGAGAAACGGCCCAGACUCCUACGGGAGGCAGCAGUAGGGAAUUUUGCGCAAUGGACGAAAGUCUGACGCAGCAACGCCGCGUGAGGGAUGAAGGUCUUCGGAUUGUAAACCUCUGUUGGGUGGGAAGAACCUUUCUUGGAAUAAUACGCCAAGAAACUGACGGUACCACUUGAGGAAGCCCCGGCUAACUACGUGCCAGCAGCCGCGGUAAUACGUAGGGGGCAAGCGUUGUUCGGAAUCAUUGGGCGUAAAGGGAGCGUAGGCGGGAUAGUAAGUUGGAAGUAUAAUUUCCGGGCUCAACCCGGAAUCUGCUUUCAAUACUGCUGUUCUUGAGUAUGGGAGAGGAUGAUGGAAUUCCAGGUGUAGCGGUGGAAUGCGUAGAUAUCUGGAAGAACACCAAUUGCGAAGGCAGUCAUCUGGCCCAAUACUGACGCUGAGGCUCGAAAGCUAGGGGAGCAAACAGGAUUAGAUACCCUGGUAGUCCUAGCCGUAAACUAUGAGUACUAGAUGUUGGGGGAGUCAAUCUUCUCAGUGUCGUAGCUAACGCGUUAAGUACUCCGCCUGGGAAGUACGCCCGCAAGGGUGAAACUCAAAGGAAUUGACGGGGGCCCGCACAAGCGGUGGAGCAUGUGCUUUAAUUCGAUGCAACGCGAAGAACCUUACCUGGGUUUGACAUGGGAGUGAAAGUUUUCAGAGAUGAGAACCUUUCCGCAAGGAACACUCUACACAGGUGCUGCAUGGUUGUCGUCAGCUCGUGUCGUGAGAUGUUGGGUUAAGUCCCGCAACGAGCGCAACCCUCGCCCUUAGUUGCCAUCAGGUAAUGCUGGGAACUCUAAGGGGACUGCCUGGUAUAACCAGGAGGAAGGUGGGGAUGACGUCAAAUCAUCAUGGCUCUUACGUCCAGGGCUAGACACGUGCUACAAUGGUCGGUACAAUGGGACGCGAGGCUGCGAGGCCAAGCAAAUCCCCUAAAACCGAUCUCAGUUCGGAUUGGAGUCUGCAAUUCGACUCCAUGAAGCUGGAAUCGCUAGUAAUCGUGGAUCAGCAUGCCACGGUGAAUACGUUCCCGGGCCUUGUACACACCGCCCGUCAAGCCACGAAAGUUAGGGGUACCCGAAGUCGCUUCUUUACUGAGCGCCUAAGGUAAGACUGAUAAUUGGGGCUAAGUCGUAACAAGGUA